GAAAUGCGAUAAGUAGUGUGAAUUGCAGAAUUCAGUGAAUCAUCGAAUCUUUGAACGCACAUUGCGCCCCUUGGUAUUCCAUGGGGCAUGCCUGUUCGAGCGUCAUUUGUACCCUCAAGCUCUGCUUGGUGUUGGGUGUUUGUCCCCGUCUCCGCGCGUGGACUCGCCCCAAAGUGAUUGGCAGCCGGCGUACUGGUCCCGGAGCGCAGCACAUGUCGCGCAAACGAGUGCCUUGGUACGGCGGCGUCCAUAAGCCCCUCUCUCACGCUCUUGACCUCGGAUCAGGUAGGGAUACCCGCUGACCUUGAGC
rnacentral:misc_RNA from 1 species